rnacentral:lncRNA from 1 species
CAGGGUUUGACUAAGGGAUCCGGUGAGGCGAUGGGCUGGGGGGCGGGGCCUGGGCCAUGGGCGUGGUCAGAGGUGUUCGUGGGGACAGGAGGAGGCGUGGUCAGGCGGAGCGUCGGCCCGGGUCUCUGCAGAGGGACCAUUCUGGGCGCUUGUGACCCGCGGCGGAUCGAAAUCAGGCUCCCCUGGAAGGCGGGGAUGUCUCUGUUACUUUUCUUCAGAGCUGCAUUCCCAGGACCUGGAGUGGUACCUGGCCCAGGGAAGUGGCGCAUCAGUGAAGGAACGAGUGUCCGUGCAGAUGGCAGCCCUGAGGCUCACGGGCCCAGCGGAGAAGGAAUGCGGGGAGAAGAGGAGGGUGUAGAACAUGCUGUCAAUGCAACAGAAAGUAGAAAAGGAGGAAAAACAAACCAAAAAAAAGUGGAAGUAAUGUCUGGUUAUAUCUGUCAUGUUGUGAGUGGAAAGAGCAAGUCACCAGAUAAGGAGAGAAAACAAAACUCAGAUCAGCGCUCACAUUUGAAACAAAACAAGCUGGAAUGCCUGAAAUAAAGAUGUAAAAAGACAUCAGAAAAAUACUUUCCAAAAGAAUGCUGUUGUCACUCAUUCAAAUAGACAGCGUGGGACAUCAGGGGAAGCACUGGGGGCAUAAAGAGGGUCACAGCAAAGGAAUAACAGUGACACUCCGUCCAGAGCACUGAACCAACAACAUUAUAAGAGAAACGGAAAAGAGAAAUUACGGGAGAUGCUAACUCACGUCUAUGAGAAACUGACAGAUCAAAGCAGGCAAAAAUAAUUAGUCUAUUGACUGUUUGGGCAACAAAAGCAAAGAGCUUUAUCUAGUAGAUAAAAUAGAAUCCUGCAUGAGACAAAUUGAAAACAUACAUGUAUAUCUGUAUAAUAAUAUAUAUUUUGAAAUAUAUAUUUAAAUAUCAUAUGUAAAUAUGUCUUUAUAUAUGUAUUUUUCUUUUCAAGUAUAUAGUGAAUAUAGACAAGCAUUGACCAGGUUGUUUUGGAUUUUUUUUUUUGCUGAGGAAGAUUCACCCUGAGCUAACAUCUGUGCCAAUCUUCCUCCAUUUUGUAUAUGGGUCGCCACCUCAGCAUGGCUGCUGACAAGUGGUGUAUGUCCACGCCCAGGAACCAAACCUGGGCUUCCAAAGUGGAGUGUGCUGAACAUAACCAUGAGCCACUCCAAAACUCUGAUGAAAGAAAUUGAAGCAGAUCUAAAUAAACGGAGAGAGGGUCCACGUUCA